UACGUAGGGGGCAAGCGUUGUCCGGAAUCAUUGGGCGUAAAGCGCGUGUAGGCGGCCAGAUAAGUCCGCUGUGAAAUCUCGAGGCUCAACUUCGAGCUGUCGGUGGAAACUGUCUGGCUAGAGUCCGGAAGAGGAGAAUGGAACUCCUGGUGUAGCGGUGAAAUGCGCAGAUAUCAGGAAGAACACCCGUGGCGAAGGCGGUUCUCUGGGACGGUACUGACGCUGAGACGCGAAAGCGUGGGGAGCGAACAGG
rnacentral:rRNA from 1 species